GGAGUCUAGGCCCGAUGUUGUUA
rnacentral:siRNA from 1 species